rnacentral:lncRNA from 1 species
CAAGGACAACUCACCAUAGUUCACCCAUGCUGCUCCAAAUUCCUACCUUUAUGUGUUCAGAUCUACUUUAAAAUAAGGUAUUUUAAAUCUAACAUGUACCAACUAUUCAUCUUUUGGGAAAAUAUAAUUGGUAGACUUGGUAGACAUAAUUUGUUCUAAUGGAAUUUCAGUUUAUUGUGCACACAAUGUCCUUUGUUGUUUUAUCUGGGUGAGCACCUUUGGAAUACGAUUCAAAAUCCUUGGAGGGUAUCCUUCCGAAAAUCUUAAAUGGGUUGCAAAUGCAAAUAUCAACUGUUAGUAUCAUAGCUUUUGUUUUGAAAGCUACUAUCCAGGUAAGAAAAGUAUUGUCAUAAGCUGCAUUUAAAAUUGAUAUUCACUUGGUCAUUUGUCGAGUGGAUCUAAGUGAAAUCUAUUUUUUUUAUGAGAUUAUUCACUUAGUCAUUUGUCGAGUUGAGCUAAGUGAAAUCUGUUUUUUGUAUAGGAUUAUUCACUUACUCAUUUGUCGAGUUGAAGUGAAAUCUGUUCCUUUAUAUGAGAUAUUGCAGACUUGCAGUUGCAGAUUAUGGAUUUACAUUUUUUUUUGCUUCACUACGUAUUACCCUGAAGCCCCAUCUGCUUGGUUGAUUUUAACCCCAAUAUACAAGGUGGACAUGCAGAUAGAUGGCCAUGUAUCCUCACAGGAGAACAUGGAACCUGGAGCUGGCAAUGGUAAAUUGACCGGAGCCGUCGUCGGCACCGUUGAGCUCUAGACCCAGGUGCACCGAGUACUAUGUUAU